AGAGUUUGAUCAUGGCUCAGGAUGAACGCUAGCGACAGGCUUAACACAUGCAAGUCGAGGGGCAUCAUGAGGUAGCAAUACCUUGAUGGCGACCGGCGCACGGGUGAGUAACGCGUAUGCAACCUGCCUGAUACCGGGGUAUAGCCCAUGGAAACGUGGAUUAACACCCCAUAGUCUUUAUCCUGCAUGGGAUGUGAGUUAAAUGUUUAAGUNUCGGAUGGGCAUGCGUCCUUAUUAGUUAGUUUGGACGGGGGUUAACUACGGCCCGAACCGAAGACCGAUGAGUAGGGUAGGGGUUCUGGAGAGGGUAAGGUCCCCCCGAUA
rnacentral:rRNA from 1 species